rnacentral:rRNA from 1 species
AUGUUGGCUAAACAAUGCUGGAGGUUAAUUACUGACCCGGACUCACUGGUUGCAAGAGUUCUGAAGGCUAAAUAUUUUCCAAAUGGCAGUAUCCUAGAUGUUACACCAAAAAAUGGAUCCUCGUUUACAUGGCAAAGUAUUCUGAAGGGGUUAGAUACCUUCAAAAAAGGUUAUAUUUGGAGAAUUGGGUCUGGAGAGCAUGUGAACAUUUGGUCGGAUCCGUGGAUACCUUCUAGCCCGAAUAGAAAGGUAAUCACGCCACGGGGCCAGACAAUAUUAACUAGAGUUUGUGAACUAAUUGACCCUACGAGUGGAACAUGGGAUGAGACUUUGAUCUCAAAUUUAUUCAACCCGGUUGAUUCACGCAGGAUACUCCAAAUACCUAUUCACUUACAAGGAUUUGAUGAUUUUAUAGCAUGGCAACCAAACAGAACUGGGAUUUUUUCAGUUCGAAGU